GGCAUCACUGGAUUUGGCCCAUAGAGGGUGAGAGGCCCGUACGGGUGGAGGUUCAGACAUGUGAGAUGGUUCACCAGGCCGGCCUCAGAGUCGGGUUGUUUGAGAUUGCAGCCCAAAGAGGGUGGUAAACUCCAUCCAAGGCUAAAUACUGCCACGAGUCCGAUAGCGAACAAGUACCAUGAGGGAAAGUUGAAAAGUACUCUGAAGAGAGAGUAAACAGUACGUGAAGCCGCAUGCAGGUAAACGGGUGGCGUCAAGCUGCGAGCCCGGAGGAUUCAGCUGACUGGGAUGUAGUGUACGCGCGCCUGGUGCGUCGAGAGGCCGGAGUAAGAUGUGGCGGUCCACUCCUCUGUCGGGAGUGGGGUGCAAUCGGUGUGCGCUCGCCGUGCAACGGUUGUCGCUAUGCAUGCCGGGUGGGUGCCGGAGCAUGCCGCUCGUCUGUUGGGCCACCUAGUCAGUGCAUUUUCUCCGUGGUGAACACCACGACCGGUGGAACUGCCAGUCUGCUAUGAGCAAGUCGUGUCCUCCUGGCGCAUUGCUGUGUUGGGUGGGCGCGAUCGCUGGCGGAGUGGGUGAACGGCGCAGUGGUGCCUCGGUACUGCCGCGUGUUAUCGUGCACUCUCCGUCGUAAGCGGUUAGUGGGUUUGACUAAGUGCUGUGACUACUUGCCUACUAAUCGGCGGCUCUUAGUGGUGAAAGUGACUGUGCAGGGCACCGGAGUUGUCCACCUCAUUCAAUAUGGUAUCCGGCACGCACGUUACAGGUGCUAAGGAAUCGAGGUGCGCCGCUGUCUGCCUGGUGUUGGGCCUGACUGUCGUGUUGCCUGCAAAAAGUGGGUCCGGCGGUGGUUUCGAUACUUGGUAUUGGCAGUGUGAUGCGCGUCUCGGGUGUCUGUGAUACCGGGGGUGAAAUAGUCAGUGGUGCUGUGGUAGACGAGCUACCCGACCCGUUUUGAAACACGGACCAAGG
rnacentral:rRNA from 1 species